rnacentral:rRNA from 1 species
AAUUCGAUUGAGUUUGAUCCUGGCUCAGGACGAACGCUGGCGGCGUGCUUAACACAUGCAAGUGGUGCGACGAACCAGGGCUUGCCCUGGGGCCAAGCCGCGAACGGGUGAGUAACACGUGAGUAAUCUGCCCCGAUGACUGGGACAACCCGAGGAAACUCGGGCUAAUACCGGAUGAUGUGCACACAUGUAAGUGUGUUCACUAAAGGAAGCUUCGGCCUCCGCAUCGGGAGGAGCUCGCGGCCCAUUAGCUUGUUGGUGGGGUAACGGCCCACCAAGGCGACGAUGGGUAGCUGGUCUGAGAGGACGAUCAGCCACACUGGGACUGAGACACGGCCCAGACUCCUACGGGAGGCAGCAGUGGGGAAUCUUGCGCAAUGCGCGAAAGCGUGACGCAGCAACGCCGCGUGAGGGAAGACGGCCUUCGGGUUGUAAACCUCUUUCAGGAGGGACGAAGGUUCACCGGUGAACAGCCGUGUGGAUUGACGGUACCUCCAGAAGAAGCCCCGGCUAACUACGUGCCAGCAGCCGCGGUAAUACGUAGGGGGCAAGCGUUGUCCGGAAUCAUUGGGCGUAAAGCGCGCGUAGGCGGCCCUGUAAGUCCGUUGUGAAAGUCAAAGGCUCAACCUUUGAAAGCCGAUGGAUACUGCAGGGCUAGAGUCCGGAAGAGGCGAGUGGAAUUCCUGGUGUAGCGGUGGAAUGCGCAGAUAUCAGGAGGAACACCAGCGGCGAAGGCGGCGCUCUGGGCCGGUACUGACACUGAGGAGCGAAAGCGUGGGUAGCAAACAGGAUUAGAUACCC